CAUCCAUCCAAUUCUUCGCUCUGGGCCAACAGAACAACUCUAAUAAUCCUUGUUCCAUAGGUCAGCCUUCUAAACACUUUAAGGCAGCUCUCAGGUCUCCCCUCAGUCUGUUCUUCUUCAUGGUGUCAUGAUGGUGUAAUUGAUAACAAAGUUCUAACAGAUGCUCUCUUGCCAGUUCUUCCAAUGAACUUCUACUUAUGCCCCUUAUAUAAGUGACUAGCCCAGGUCACACAGAAAGUGUCUGAGGCCAUAUUUGAACCCAGGACCUCUAGUCUCUGGGUCUGACACUAUCCACUAAGCAACCUGGUUGCCCCCUUUAACAUUCAUUUUUGACAAAUUUGAGUUCAUAAUUUUCUCCCUCUUCUCUUCGCUCAUUGAGAAGGCAAGUUAGUUGAUUUAGGGUAUCAAUAUAGGAAAUAGGUGCCUUCAUGCAAAACAUAUUUCCAUAUUAGGCAUGUAAAAAACACAGACCAAGAAAAAAAGAGGAAAAAAAGAAAAAUACAGUUUAAGAAAGUAUGCUUUAAUCUGCAUUCAGACUCCAUCAAUUCUUUCUCUGGAGAGCAAUGUUCUAGGGCUUAAUGUCAACAGCACAGUUUCAUAUGUAACUAGGAGCAUCUGGAGAACCUCAUCCAUGUUGGAACUUUCUUAUCACAGUGGGAGCACCUUUGGUGACCAUGAACAUCACAGGAGGUGCCACCAUGAGCUGGAGAUGUUUUGGUCAAAGCUGGAUAUGGGGUGAACAGAUUGCAUUCAGAGACUGCUGCUAAUGCAGACUGAAAAACAGCGUUCCUUCCUGCCAUCAUCCUGACAUUAGUUCAGCCUGGCACGAUGGAUGGAUGGGGCCAGAAGGCAAAUACUGUCACUAUACAGAAGUUAAGGCAGACUGAUCAGACACAGUCUGAUGGGUGAGGAGUAAAUCUUUCAGGUUUGGGUAGAAACUGUUUUCUCCUGGCUUGAUCUGACAAGUGAAGGUAUUUAUAGGGAGGUGUGUAUGUGUGUGUGUGUGUGUGUGUGUGUGUGUGUGUGUGUGUGUGACAUGGGAUUAAUAUAGGUAGGGCCAGACUUACUAUAGCUAAAAUAAUACCUAUAUCUGGUGAUUUAAAGGGAGCCUCUAACUUCUUCUACCUUUAAAUACCUCCCUCAUUGGCCAAAGUGUUUGAAAUUCUCC
rnacentral:lncRNA from 1 species